UACGAAGGGGGCGAGCGUUGUUCGGAUUUACUGGGCGUAAAGGGCGCGCAGGCGGUUCUGUUUGUCGAGUGUGAAAGCCCCGGGCUCAACCUGGGAACUGCGCUCGAAACGGCGGAACUAGAGUUCGGGAGAGGAGAGUGGAAUUCCCAGUGUAGAGGUGAAAUUCGUAGAUAUUGGGAAGAACACCGGUGGCGAAGGCGGCUCACUGGCCCGUUACUGACGCUGAGGCGCGAAAGCGUGGGGAGCAA
rnacentral:rRNA from 1 species